CAAUGCGGAGGGAGAAAGAAAGGGAAAGGCGGCGUCUUAGAGACAAGAUAAGAAGACAGAACAUGAGCCAAUAAUCUCCUUUCUGCCACUUCUCCUAUGCUUGAUGACUUGCCAUCUAGCUCUGAAACUCAAGUGUUCAGAAGGAGAAGCUCAGAACAUGAGGAAAACCCCUAGAAGGUUACGCGUAAGUGACGUAAGACAUUUAGCUAGAAGAUUACAUGGUGAUGACCAGCAGGAAAAUGGGGAACUUCUGACAAACUAUGAAGCUUUUUGGGACGACAAUCUAAAGUCUGGUGGAUCUAUAGAAGCUAAAUUAGGAGAAUGAAUGCAAGGCUGUGAUCCCUUGGGUGCCAUCUCAGACGGUCAACCCUGUAUCACAAGGUCUUGGUUCUCAAACAGAUUCAUCGGAGCCAAUGGACGCUGAAGAAUUGGAAACAUCAAUGGUAGAAAUUGAAGAUCAAGAUGCUGCAAACAUUGGACAAGCAAAUGGGUACCUAUAACCUUUCUUAUCUUAACGAAGGCUUUGGCAUCAGCAACAUCCUCAGAAUACCAGGGGCUAUUAGAUUUUGAAGUGAAAGAAUCAAAGAAACUUCAGCAUAUCUGGGCAAUUGAAUGGAACCUUCGCUGGCACAAGUGUUAUUAUAAUUACGGGACAAUGAUUAUUGUUUAACUUAAGUUUACUAUCUAACAAAAUGGAAGUAGGAAAUCAUUUUAAGCAUUUUCAA